AGAGUUUGAUUAUGGCUCACGAUAACGUUGGCUGUGUGCCUAAGGUAUGCAAGUCGAACGAACUCGCGCUGUGAGUGGCAAACGGGUGAGUAACACGUGGAUAACCUGCCUUAUAGUCUUGAACAGCUCAUCGAAAGAUGGGAUAAUACGUGAUACUUACUAUUUCUAUCACUUUGUAAGUAAAGCUCCCGCGCUUUAAGAGGGGUCCGCGUCCUAUCAUCUUGUUGGUGAGGUAAUAGCUCACCAGGGCUAACACGGGUAGCUGGCGUGAGAGCGCGGUCAGCCACCAUGGAACUGACACACGGUCCAUACUCCUACUGGAGGCAGCGAUUAUGAAUCUUGCGCAAUGGGGGCAACCCUGACGCAUCGACACAGCGUGGAGGCGGUUCGUUGACUCCUUUUAUGUGGGAUAGAACCAUAUGAAUAAGCACCUGCAACUACGUGCCAGAAUCAUCGGUGAUACAUAUGGUGCGAACGUUAUCCGGAUUUAUUGGGCGUAUAGAGAGCGUAGGCGUUUCUGUAAGUCUAGAGUUAAAGCCCACGGCUCAUCCGUGGAAAAGCUUUGGAAACUGCCGAAAUUGAGACAGGAAGAGGCGAAUGGAAUUCCCAGUGGAGCGGUGAAAUGCGUUGAUAUUGGGAGGAACAUCAGUGGCGAACGCGAUUCGCUGGUCCUGUCUGACGCUGAGGCUCGACAGCGUGGGUAGCAAAACGGAUCAGAUACCCGUGUAGUCCACGCAGUAAACUACGGAUGCUAGGUGUUCGGUACAAGUAUUGAGUGCCGCAGCUCACGCGUCAAGCAUCCCGCCUGGGAAGUACGACCGCAAGGCUAAAACUCAAAUGAAUUGGCGGGGACCCUCACAAGCAGAGGGCGCGCGGCUUAAUUCGACGGCAACAGAAGAACCUUUCCAGGGUAAUGAUCGCACGCCCUAUAAAAUAGGGAUUAGGUGAUCAAGGUGCUGCACGGCCGCCGUCAGCUCGUGUCGUGCGACGUAGGGGUAAGUCCCGAAACGAGCGCAACCCCUAUUGUAUGUCACAAGUGUAUUAGAAAACCGCCUCGGUCAACGAGGAGGAAGGUGGGGACGACGUCUGGUCCGCAUAGCCCUUACGUCCUGGGCUACACACGCGCUACAAUGUCCGAUACAGUAGGAUGCCAAAUCGUAAGAUGGAGCUAUCCUCAAAGUCGGUCUCAGUUCGGAUGGAGGUCUGAAAUUCGACCUCAUGAAGUUGGAUUCGCUCGUAAUCGUAGAUCAGCAAUGUUCCGGUGAAUACGUUCUCGCGUCUUGCACACACCCCCGUC
rnacentral:rRNA from 1 species